rnacentral:rRNA from 1 species
GACGAACGCUGGCGGUGUGCCUAAUACAUGCAAGUCGAGCGAAUCAAUAGGAGCUUGCUCCUGUUGGUUAGCGGCGGACGGGUGAGUAACACGUGGGCAACCUGCCUGUAAGACUGGGAUAACACCGGGAAACCGGUGCUAAUACCGGAUAAUCCUUUUCCUCUCAUGAGGAAAAGCUGAAAGUCGGUUUCGGCUGACACUUACAGAUGGGCCCGCGGCGCAUUAGCUAGUUGGUGAGGUAACGGCUCACCAAGGCGACGAUGCGUAGCCGACCUGAGAGGGUGAUCGGCCACACUGGGACUGAGACACGGCCCAGACUCCUACGGGAGGCAGCAGUAGGGAAUCUUCCACAAUGGACGAAAGUCUGAUGGAGCAACGCCGCGUGAGCGAUGAAGGCCUUCGGGUCGUAAAGCUCUGUUGUUAGGGAAGAACAAGUACCGGAGUAACUGCCGGUACCUUGACGGUACCUAACCAGAAAGCCACGGCUAACUACGUGCCAGCCGCCGCCGUAA